rnacentral:rRNA from 1 species
CCUACGGGGGGCAGCAGUGGGGAAUAUUGGGCAAUGGGCGCAAGCCUGACCCAGCAACGCCGCGUGAAGGAAGAAGGCUUUCGGGUUGUAAACUUCUUUUAUCAGGGACGAAGCAAGUGACGGUACCUGAUGAUUAAGCCACGGCUAACUACGUGCCAGCAGCCGCGGUAAUACGUAGGUGGCAAGCGUUAUCCGGAUUUACUGGGUGUAAAGGGCGUGUAGGCGGGAGUGCAAGUCAGAUGUGAAAACUAUGGGCUCAACCCCGGACCUGCAUUUGAAACUGUUGGGCUUGAGUAUCGGAGAGGCAGGCGGAAUUCCUAGUGUAGCGGUGAAAUGCGUAGAUAUUAGGAGGAACACCAGUGGCGAAGGCGGCCUGCUGGACGACAACUGACGGUGAGGCGCGAAAGCGUGGGGAGCAAACAGGAUUAGAUACCCCAGUAGUC